ensembl:lncRNA
AGUCUGAAAAGCAUGAAUAAGGGUGUUUGGAAGACAAGCCAGUGACUUGCAAACUUCUGCUGAGGAAAAGCAAUAGGAGGGACGUAUAAAUGUAAUGGGAGAUAGAUGAAUAGGAUCACGACUUGGACAGCCUCCUUCUGCGUUGUAUUCUCAAUGGCAGUGCCAGCAAAUCAUCCCCUCUGAUAUGUUUUAUUAUCUAUACCUUCGCCCUCUUCUUAUCUACAUGAGCCAACCCUGAACUGCUUCCCUCUUUGCUGCACGUUUGUGUUCUGGCAGAUCAGGAUGGUUUUGUGGCACUUGCACACACUUGUGCCAGCACCAGACACCAGGGCAGAGCUGCAGGCAGGGGCAGCAGGAGAAGGAACUGCCUGUUUCCAUUGCAAGUGCUGGGUGAAAGUUCUACUCCAAGUUGCAUUCAUAGAAUCAUAGAGUGGGUUAGACUGAAAGCCCCGGACUUCCUGACUGACCCACUAUGAACCACUGCUGCUCUGCACACAUUAUUUCCUCUCUUUGAAAGAAAAAAAAGAAAGAAAGCACAGAAGAACUUACCCACAAUCUGGCAGCGCCUCGCUCUCCCAUUUAGCUCACCUCUCAUUUUCAAGCUGCUCUUAACAAGCCGGAAAGCUAAAGAAUAUCCACCUCUCCAGCCUGGGUCUGUCCUUUUUCUGAUCUCCCCACCAAAGAACUCUGUGAUGUUCCCUGUAGGAGGAGGCUGAAAACCUUCUGUUUUUCUUUCCCUGUUAAUGGGAAUUUUCUUCUGCUGUAUUUUUUGCUUGGCUGUUUUCUUAUCAAAAUCCAUUCUUUCUGCAACAAUACUGCUCUUGCAAUGCUAGGAGCAACGGUGGAUUUUGUUUUUAAUCUGUUUAAAAGCUGAGAUUUAUAUACAAAUAUACUUAUGUGUAUUUGUUUACUUAUAAAUCUAUAGCAUAUGAUUGCGACUUGAGUACAAAUCACCAGAAAGCUAGCAUUAUUCAGCUUCAACAUUUUCAUUGUAUUCAAUGGGAACAAAUUUUGGUCAAAAUUACCAGGUUUCUUUGUUCUUUCAGUCUGUUUCCAGCUGAGCCAACAAGCUAGGAGUUGUCCUCUGGCGCAGCCUUGAAAUGCCAAUUUCCACGUGUAAGCCAUUUGUCUCCAUGCAGCAUGAGGCUGAAUGCAGGCUGUUUGCUAAGCGCAUACCUCAAACCAGGAAUGAGAGCUUUCAAUUUGCAUGUCUUCUUCUCUGGAUUAAAGAUUUGAAAUGUUUUACCUCAAGCUCAGCUGCUGGCAUUGGCAGAGCCCAUCAUUCGUCCAAAAAGUGACUUACGAUCCCUUUAGGUUACAGACA